UGUGGCUGGGGGUGAAAGGCCAAUCAAACCGGGAGAUAGCUGGUUCUCCCCGAAAUCUAUUUAGGUAGAGCCUUGAGCGGACACCUUCGGGGGUAGAGCACUGUUUCGGCUAGGGGUCCAUCCCGGAUUACCAACCCGAUGCAAACUACGAAUACCGAAGAGUGAUACUCAGGAGACACACGGCGGGUGCUAACGUCCGUCGUGGAGAGGGAAACAACCCAGACCGCCAGCUAAGGUCCCAAAGUCUAUAUUAAGUGGGAAACGAAGUGGGAAGGCUUAGACAGCUAGGAUGUUGGCUUAGAAGCAGCCAUCAUUUAAAGAAAGCGUAAUAGCUCACUAGUCGAGUCGGCCUGCGCGGAAGAUGUAACGGGGCUCAAAUAUAGCACCGAAGCUGCGGCAUCAGUAGCAAUACUGUUGGGUAGGGGAGCGUUCUGUAAGCGGAUGAAGGUGGCUCGAGAGGGCUGCUGGACGUAUCAGAAGUGCGAAUGCUGACAUAAGUAACGAUAAAACGGGUGAAAAACCCGUUCGCCGGAAGACCAAGGGUUCCUGUCCAACGUUAAUCGGGGCAGGGUGAGUCGGCCCCUAAGGCGAGGCUGAAAAGCGUAGUCGAUGGGAAACGGGUUAAUAUUCCCGUACUUGGAUAAACUGCGAUGUGGGGACGGAGUAGGUUAGGUUAUCGCACUGUUGGAUAUGUGCGUUUAAGUUUGUAGGUGUGAAGUUUAGGCAAAUCCGGACUUCUUUAACACUGAGAGAUGAUGAGGAGGCUCUACGGAGCUGAAGUAACCGAUACCACACUUCCAGGAAAAGCCACUAAGCUUCAGGUUUAUCUAAACCGUACUGAAAACCGACACAGGUGGUCAGGUAGAGAAUACUCAGGCGCUUGAGAGAACUCGGGUGAAGGAACUAGGCAAAAUAGCACCGUAACUUCGGGAGAAGGUGCGCCGGCGUAGAUUGUAGUCCCUUGCGGGCGAAGGUUGAACCGGUCGAAGAUACCAGCUGGCUGCAACUGUUUAUUAAAAACACAGCACUCUGCAAACACGAAAGUGGACGUAUAGGGUGUGAUGCCUGCCCGGUGCUGGAAGGUUAAUUGAUGGUGUAAUCGAAAGAGAAGCUCCUGAUCGAAGCCCCAGUAAACGGCGGCCGUAACUAUAACGGUCCUAAGGUAGCGAAAUUCCUUGUCGGGUAAGUUCCGACCUGCACGAAUGGCGU
rnacentral:rRNA from 1 species